rnacentral:rRNA from 1 species
UACGUAGGGGGCAAGCGUUGUCCGGAAUUAUUGGGCGUAAAGCGCGCGCAGGCGGUCUUUUAAGUCCUGUGUUUAAUGUCGGGGCUCAACCCCGGCCCGCAUGGGAAACUGGGAGACUGGAGUGCAGGAGAGGGAAGCGGAAUUCCACGUGUAGCGGUGAAAUGCGUAGAGAUGUGGAGGAACACCAGUGGCGAAGGCGGCUUCCUGGUCUGUAACUGACGCUGAGGCGCGAAAGCGUGGGGAGCAAACA